rnacentral:rRNA from 1 species
UACAGAGGUCCCGAGCGUUGUUCGGAUUCAUUGGGCGUAAAGCGUGCGCAGGCGGUUCGUUAAGUCAGAUGUGAAAGCCCGGGGCUCACCCCCGGAAGUGCAUUGGAAACUGACAGACUGGAGUCCCGGAGAGGAGGGUGGAAUUCCUGGUGUAGCGGUGAAAUGCGUAGAUAUCAGGAGGAACACCGGUGGCGAAGGCGGCCCUCUGGACGGUGACUGACGCUGAGACGCGAAAGCGUGGGGAGCAAACAGG